rnacentral:misc_RNA from 1 species
AGUUGCUUCAUCUUUUAUUAAUUUACAUAUCUGUUUCUCCGAUUGGAUUCUACUGUUUUAAAUCUAGCUCCGAUUCCCAAAUUACCAAAACUUCGAUUCCAAUUCACCUUUGAAAAUCAAUAAAUAGCUUGCAAUUUGGAAUGAUAGCUUUAUUUGAUUUCUGGUAGAAUUUCUAUUUGAUUCUGUGUGUAGCGAGCUAAUUGUUGUGAAAUUUAUGUUUAAUAUUUGCAGGUCUGAGUAUGAUACCCUUGG